rnacentral:pre_miRNA from 1 species
UGUGUGUAGGACCGUCGGUCUACCAAGCAAUAUCACUCGCUCGAUGGAAGAUCUUCCCUAUGCCGU